rnacentral:rRNA from 1 species
AUACGGAGGGUGCAAGCGUUACUCGGAAUCACUGGGCGUAAAGCGCGCGCAGGCGGCUUGAUAAGUUGGAUGUGAAAGCCUACGGCUCAACCGUAGAACUGCAUCCAAAACUGUCAGGCUAGAGUGUGGGAGAGGAAGAUGGAAUUAGUUGUGUAGGGGUAAAAUCCGUAGAGAUAACUAGGAAUACCAAAAGCGAGGGCAAUCUUCUGGAACACUACUGACGCUGAGGCGCGAAGGCGUGGGGAGCAAACAGGAUUAGAAACCCCGGUAGUCC